UCGGAGGCGUUCGCGGGUCGAUUGUGCGAGCGAGACAGAGAUAAACUUCCGGAAUAAUCCGCGCUAAAUUUAAAAUGUUGUUUGUUGUUUCGAUGCCAGUUUCGCGAAUAUUCUGUGGUUUAUUGUGAAAAUUAUUUUUGAAAUGGGUUGUUUAUGGGGUUUUGGGUUAUUUGAUCAUACAAUAUUGGAAAAUGUUGGUAAUUUCGUGUUGUUUGAUUCAUACAUAAUUCGUGAAUAAAUUGCAACCAAAAAUGGUCACGAAAUGUGUUCUAUCAUAAAUGUUAUAGUUGCAUUUUAAAUCAAAUCCAUAUACCUAUAAACAUUGUUUUAGCAUUUACUGCUAUUUACUAGCUAAAACAUCACUAUUUCUUUACGGCUCUUUAUUUUAUUUAGUUUCUAUUGUUGUAUUGCCUUCUCUAAACGUCUAAAUUAAAACUUGAUUCUCACAGGCAUUUUUUCCCAAUAAAAUUUAUAUAAUUCAAAUCGAAAUGUCGGGUUCAACAUUCUAGAAUAUCCUCGAUGAAUCAAGAGAAUCAAUGAAAAAAUCUCGAAUACGACUAAGCGCAUUUCCAUGGCACUCUUGGGCUAAAUUUAAAAUAAAAACAAAAAAAAUAUAACCUCAAAAUGGUGUCUUGAGGUGUGCCGAUGUAUUAAAUCCUAACAGUUCUUGUUGUAUUAUUGUAUUAUGAAUAAAACUUCACAAGGAA